rnacentral:rRNA from 1 species
GACGAACGCUGGCGGCGUGCCUAAUACAUGCAAGUCGAACGCUGAAGCUUGGUGCUUGCACCGAGCGGAUGAGUUGCGAACGGGUGAGUAACGCGUAGGUAACCUGCCUGGUAGCGGGGGAUAACUAUUGGAAACGAUAGCUAAUACCGCAUAAGAGUAGAUGUUGCAUGACAUUUGCUUAAAAGGUGCAAUUGCAUCACUACCAGAUGGACCUGCGUUGUAUUAGCUAGUUGGUGAGGUAACGGCUCACCAAGGCAACGAUACAUAGCCGACCUGAGAGGGUGAUCGGCCACACUGGGACUGAGACACGGCCCAGACUCCUACGGGAGGCAGCAGUAGGGAAUCUUCGGCAAUGGACGGAAGUCUGACCGAGCAACGCCGCGUGAGUGAAGAAGGUUUUCGGAUCGUAAAGCUCUGUUGUAAGAGAAGAACGAGUGUGAGAGUGGAAAGUUCACACUGUGACGGUAGCUUACCAGAAAGGGACGGCUAACUACGUG